UGCAAACUUACUACCACGGUGGCUACAAAUAUGAUAGAGACUAUAGAUGCACACGAACCGUCACCUACAGGUUCCGUCUCUACAGGGUUCAAAUUUUAAUUUAAUAUUUAAUGUUAAAAAAAUGUAUUAAAGAUUCGAAAACAAUGGAAAGAAUGUUUCUCUAGAGUGGAGAUCUGUAAAACAAAUAUUAUUGAGAAAACGGAGAAAGGCUGGAUUUUGCCGUCCUAAAACAUUAGAAGAGUUAGCAGGUUACUUGUUAAAAAAUUCAAAGUUAAAACCCAUUUUUAAAGGUGUAGUAAAGCAUGGAACACAAAUGGCAUUACUGUUCUCUACGGAUAAACUUAACAGCGAAUUAAAUAGUCAAACUGGAGUUUAUAUGGAUGGAACAUUCGAAGUAAUGUUAUGUUUUUAAUUUUGGUAUUGAUUGUAUUACUUAUUUUAAUUAUAAUUCUAUAUGACAGGAAAUCUUUUUAUUUAAAAUUUUUAUAUACGCGGUAGAAAUUUUAACUGAAUACUAGGAAAUUAUUUUAAUUUGUCUAACUUUAAAUGUGGUGUUGGAUCAAUUUUGUAGGAUGUGGCUGUAACGUCUGUAUCAAUAAAAUAUUAGAAGAACCAGAUUUCUGCAAGUAAAAAUAUUUUUUGCUAAAUUUAAAAGAGAAAAACUGUUUGAUAAUUGUAAUUUAAAUUAAAUAUGCGUACAAAAAAUGACAAAAAUAAAGAAAGUGUAUAAAUUAAACAUACUGUCUGUGGGUAAUGUGUCUUCUUAAGAAAUGUAGCUCAUUCCAGUGCUCCCAAGUCUCCGGAUUUUCUAUCUCGUACAACCUCAUAUAUCUAUCUCACAAGAACUUCCAACGAGUUCUAA